GAAUUUGAUUCUGGGUCCAAAUGGACCCUGGGGGGCUGGUUUACCCCUGGCAGUCCAACCAAGAAGCCCAACUUGGUUGGGGGAAUAAUGGCCCCCGGGUGAAUUAUAUUUUAAUUACCUGGCUCUUAAUCCGGGAAAACCCUUGGAAACCAAGAAUAAUACUAAAUACUCCUUUCUACUCUUAUGGUAAUCCGGAAAAUUUUUCCCUUAAAAAUUCGGCUAUUUCCCCUCCACUAAUUGGGAAUGGAAAAAAAUACCCAGGGAAUGACCGGUAACGGGUUUGAAAAGAAGAUUCCCCCCCCUGGUACUGAAACCCCGACCCAAAUCCUACCGGAAGGCACCAUGAAGAAUAUUGGCCCAUGGAAGAAACUCUGAAGCCACCACCCCCCCUGGAAGAAGAACCCUUUUCGUGGGGUAACUCCUUUUAAAUGUCCAGGAAAUGACCGGAGCAUAAGAAUAAGGCACGGCUUACUCCCUGCCCAGCACCCGGGUUAUACGGAGGGUGCCAAGGGUAUUCGGAAACAACGGGGGGUAAAGACCGCGUAGGGGGGGUGCCCAGUCCUAUGGUGAAUCCUAAUGGUUUACCAUUAGACUGCAUGGAAACUGGUACCCUAAAGAAUGGGAAGGGGGAAGAUGGAAAUAGUUGGUUGUAGGGGUAAAAUCCGUAGGAUAAUCCACUAGGGAUACCGAAAGCGAAGCCGAUCUCCUGGAACAUACUGACGCUAAGGCGUGAAAGCGUGGGAGCAAACGGGAUUAGAUACCCCGGUAGUCCACGCCCUAAACGAUGUUCACUAGUCGUCGGGAUGCUAGUCAUCUCGGUGAUGCACUUAACAGAUUAAGUGAACCGCCUGGGGAGUACGGUCGCAAGAUUAAAACUCAAAGGAAUAGACGGGGACCCGCACAAGUGGUGGAGCAUGUGGUUUAAUUCGAAGAUACGCGAAGAACCUUACCUAGCCUUGACAUUGAAAGAACACUUUAGAGAUAGAGUGGUGCCCUUCGGGGAGCUUGAAAACAGGUGCUGCACGGCUGUCGUCAGCUCGUGUCGUGAGAUGUUGGGUUAAGUCCCGCAACGAGCGCAACCCUCGUCCUUAGUUGCCAGCAGGUUAAGCUGGGCACUCUAAGGAGACUGCCUUCGUAAGGAGGAGGAAGGUGAGGACGACGUCAAGUCAUCAUGGCCCUUAUGGCUAGGGCUACACACGUGCUACAAUGGGGCGUACAGAGAGUUGCGAUACCGCGAGGUGGAGCCAAUCUCAUAAAGCGUCUCUCAGUUCGGAUUGAAGUCUGCAACUCGACUUCAUGAAGCUGGAAUCACUAGUAAUCGUAGAUCAGCAAUGCUACGGUGAAUACGUUCCCGGGUCUUGUACUCACCGCCCGUCACACCAUGGGAGUUGAUUUCACCCGAAAUUGGGAAGCUAACCUUCGGGGGGCUACCACUUACGGUGGAAUUAGCGACUGGGGUGAAGUCGUAACAAGGUAACCGUA
rnacentral:rRNA from 1 species